UUUUUUUUUUCUUUUUUUUUUUUUUUUUUUUAUUAAGGACACCAAGGUCGUUGAUUUCGAGCCGUGGUAUCCGAGAAGUCCUUGGUAUCUACCUACGAACGGUGGACGAUGUCGGCUAGUAGGGUUUCGAUGCGUCCUUGGAUCGUUUCAGUUGGACCUUCAGCCGCUUCAUGCCGAUCUGGAAGCCGUUCAUCGCUUGGAUUGCUGCUUGUGCGCUCGCCACAUUGUCAUACGACACGAAGCCUGUAAAUUAUUCGUAUUUUGAAAGAUAAAAUUGCCCAAAUUCUUCUUCCGCAAAUUUCGUAUAUAAAUAGAGACAUAAAUGUGUCAUCAAUCGCUACCAUGAUCCAAAUAUUUGAUACAAAUAAAAGCACGUUAAACGAAAUAUAAUACAUCGGAGAAUAUUGUCGCAUCUUACCAAAACAUUUACUCAAUUGCGUCUGCUUAUCGAUGAAAACCUUCGCCGAGAUGACAUUUCCAAAUGGCAGAAACGUUGAGACAAGGUCAGUAUCGCUGAACUCUUGCGGUAGAUGAUAGAUAAAUAAAUUGCAACCUUCUGGACCCUCUAUCUGCUUAUCCGUGUUAGUGAAUUUCGCCUUUUGAGCCGCCGCCGCCGCCGCCGCCGCCGCCGCUGUAAACGCGGGAAAUCCUGAAAGCAGAAAAUUCGUCAUCAUCGAUGAUUUCUUAUUCCUCCAUCGAUUCAACUACAUAUUGUGUUUCUUCACACCCCACGAGAUUCGCACUUUGAUUACCGCGAUUAUUGACUCGAUUACGGUUCCCAAUUAUCGGAGAUACAACAUGAAGUUAAUUAUUGGCUCGAUUGCGGGUUUGAAUUAUUGGUUGAUUUUUGGUUGGAUUACGGUUUUAGAUUAUUGAAGAUACAAAAUGGUGUUGGUUAUCGUGUUAUAGCAUCGGUUUAUCGAGGACGUUAGAUAUAUCGAAUAAUUGAUUAAAUAAUAGAUAAAAGUGAAACGAUUAAAACGAAUAACGGUUGUUUAUAUUUUAUUCAGAUGAAAUUGAAUUUCCUGUUGUCAUAUUAUCACGAAUUUUACAGUAAAUUUGAUUUGCUAUAUUUGAAAAAAAUAUAACAUAUUACUUGAUAUCAUUCCACAAUUAUAUAUUACAUUUAUCAUCUUCGUUUCAAAUAUCCACCAAUUUGCACCAUCAACUUUUUUGCACGUUCUAUCAACAACGCGAUUAUUUCAUUGGUCACUUCAUCAAAUAUUUUCCAAAAGCCAUAACAAGUACAUCUUUUUCCUAUCCUUCAACAAAAUUGCGUAUCUUGUGAGCUGGAUUUUGCAUUACACAGUGGUGACCGUAUGCUCACGCGCAACACGUACUCUCAAACUGCAAUUAAUAUUUAACUCGAUAUUUUCAUUAAAUUAUUACAACUCGUUUAGAAAAUUGCACGUAAGCAUAUUAUCCAUCCCUGUCCAAAUUUCGAUCAUUCGAUAACGUGCAAAUUAAUCACAAUCGGAUAAUAGCACAGUCCCAUCGCACAUAACUAAAGGAAGGUUCAGGCAUUCCACUGUUUAGUUACUCACUAUGUAAUUCUUUCUUUUCCACGGUCACCGUCGUCUUUCCAAUGAGAGCUUUAAGGCGCACAGUUACACGUUAGAACAAAUACUUUUUUUCACACAUUCAUGAGUGCAAGUUUUAAACAAUACUAUUUUCACCAUAUUAAAAAUCAAGAGUACAUUCUGAUCUGAGAGGAGAAAAACAAGCAUUUUGAAAAUACAUCCUCUUACCUGCGUAUUGUUGUAAGCUCGAGUAGGCGUUGCUCAAAGAGUCCUGCAACCCGUUCAAAGGUGUCCCCGUUAAGGAAUUGAGCGCUAGGGACGUGACAGGACUUAGGCUACCUCCGGUGGACCCUUCAAAAUCGAAACGAAAUCGAUCAGAUAAGUUUUCCUUUCAUUUUUUUUUUUAUUCGUUCAAAUUUCUACAAUAGCGCCCAAUCGCAAAAUAAUCGUUCAAUUCCCAUUUCUCUCUUUUCUGUUGCUUUUCUUUUCUUUUUUUUUUCCUUUUUUUUUUGGAAAAUAUAAUUCCGUAAUCUGCAUGCAUCAUGCUGUAAUACUGACAUGAAAAGAACAAAAAAAAAAAAGAAAAAAAAGAGUAGCUCUGGUACCGUCAUAAGUAUAUUAUUAUGUUUGUUAAUUGUGUGAAUAUGCGUGUUUUGUGUAAUUACUAGAAGCAAUUUGUAUAUACAAAUAUUAUCCGUAGAAUUAUUAAUUAGAAUAUUUAAUUAAGUAGAAUUAUUAAUUUAGAAUAAUUUUGAAAGUGCUUUGGAAAAAAAAACGAUAUUUUGUAUAAUACAAUAUUUCAACGUGCAAAUUAUAUAGGUAUAUUAUUCGUUUAUAUAAUAAUUGUUAAUUGCGAAAAGCUAUUAUACACACGAUGUAGUAUUAAAUGUAUGAUGUGUGUAAAGAGAAUAAUAUUUAUCAAAAGAAGAAUAUUUCGUAUAUAUUUUAUAUAUAUAUAUAUUUACGUAAAUGCAAUAUGUUUUAAAAUAGAAAUUUCAUAAAAUUGUGCAAAUGAGUUAUGAACUUAUACCCCUCAUAUGAUUGGACACAUAUAAUUAUCGAUAAUUAAAACGAUCGAUAAAUGAAACAUCACUUCUAAUAUCACUAAUAUCACCGAACAUCGAUCAAUUGGUAUCGACAAAUUGGUUACAUACUUAAAAUACUCUAAUAUAAGCGUAACUCGGAGCUCACCUAUAAAUGGACAUUUUCAAACACAAGUAUCGCGAAGAACUACUACUAUUUUUCGUUGUGACACCCCUAUUAUUACCAUCGAAUAUUACGAAACGGCACACACGAAUUAAAGCUUAAUCGAAACAUAUCGGACAAAUAUUGGGUGAGCUUCGUUCCAUCGAUUAAACAGCCAACAGUAAUUACAAAUCUAAUUAGUGAAUGAAGAUAGGUAAUAGGAAAGGGAGAUGAUCGUAUACAAAAUAUUUUAGAACUAUCAUGUAUCAUAAUGAAUCGAGCAGCAGAGAUAAUGAAUGAUAUUAUGUUUUUUUUAAUGAAUAUGUAUAUAGAACAAGAAAUAUAUUAAAAUUAUAACUUCAUAUUUACAUAUCUUGUGUAAUGAUUUUACUUUUUAAUAAUAUUUUUUUUAACGUUUUAAUGCUUUUUUGGAUCAUUUGCUUAUAUGGUUGAAAAGUUCUAAAACAUUUUGAAAGGGGGAGAAGGUAAAAUAAUAAAGAAGUGAAUGAAGGAAUGGAGGAGCAAGUUUCAACAAACGAAUCGAUAAAGGCGUGAUAUGUAUACAGUUUUAAUGGUCUCUUCUCACCUGUGUUUCCGCUCUUUCCAAGAAGGACAGCUACGCACGAAAAAAAAAAUGUGCAUAUUAAAACGCUGACGUGCGUUCAUAUAAAAACAAGAACAAAAAAAAGAGGAGAAGAGAUGAGUACACGAGUGUAAAGGAUCGAAGAUAUGAAAUGAUUUUUU